GUCAAAUUAGCAAAAUUUUAAUGCUGCUGGCUUAGGAUCAGUGAUUAUAGGCGAGAGUCCUUUAUUUGAUA
rnacentral:tRNA from 1 species